UGGGGAAUAUUGGACAAUGGGCGCAAGCCUGAUCCAGCCAUGCCGCGUGUGUGAAGAAGGCCUUCGGGUUGUAAAGCACUUUUGUUGGGGAAGAAAAACCAGGGGUUAAUACCUCCGGGUUCUGACGGUACCCAAAGAAUAAGCACCGGCUAACUUCGUGCCAGCAGCCGCGGUAAUACGAAGGGUGCAAGCGUUACUCGGAAUUACUGGGCGUAAAGCGUGCGUAGGUGGUGAGUUAAGUCUGUCGUGAAAGCCCCGGGCUCAACCUGGGAAUGGCGAUGGAUACUGGCUCGCUAGAGUGCGGUAGAGGAGAGUGGAAUUCCCGGUGUAGCAGUGAAAUGCGUAGAGAUCGGGAGGAACAUCAGUUGCGAAGGCGGCUCUCUGGACCAGCACUGACACUGAGGCACGAAAGCGUGGGGAGCAAACA
rnacentral:rRNA from 1 species